ACCGCGGUAGCCCAGUUGGUUAGGGCGUCGGCAGUACUAAUGCUGAAGGUCGCAGGUUCAAAUCCUGCCUGCGGUG